AUGAAAGCUCUAAAAGAGUCAGAAACUCGCCAAACUUAUAAAGCACAGAGAAGGCUCGAACCCAGAGUCAACCUUGCAGCCCAUGCCUUUUACAGACUUACCAGGAGUUUUCAAAUGGGGCCCAAAGACACAUCAUCCCCAGGAAUAUACAAUCUGCUUCAGUUUUUGUUUUUGUUUUUUUUUUUUUGUCUUUUAAUUGGAAAAGACACUGAUUUCUUAGACACAGAACUCCCUAAAGCUAAUCCUGCUAACAUUUGCCAUAGCUUCUUUCAAGUUAUUUUUUCACCCCGACACCUACCUCCGCCUCAAAUUAGAGGCAGGUUUUUUAAAUUAAUUUUAAGCAGGUGUAAUCUAUUUCAUAAGCUGCUUUCCCCCUUAUUUCAGAUGCUUGAUACAUUCUUACAAUGAAGAUUUAUCAAUCUCUAAUACCACAUGGCCAUUAUAUAUAGCAGAAUAAGCAGCCAUUGGGGGGCGGGGGGUGUUUUGCAACGGGGUUAGGAAAUACUUCUUUCCUAGUUUGGGCCUGAUGACCUUGGGCCUCUGCUGAACAGAGGGAGCUGGAAGAGUUCUAACUUAAAGCAAGACAUUCUCAAGACCCUCAAAGAAAAGAAGAUGCCAGGGAAGACUGUUCCCCAAGAGUUCAGGAUCAAACAAAUCAGCUCAGGUUCAACUAAGGGAACUGAACUUCCACAGGAGGGGCAAUUUCCAAUCAUACCAAUGACUCUAGCCUAAGAAAAGCUGCUGCUAGUUUGGUCUUAUGGGAUAAAGCUGCGAGGGGGGUGGGAAAAGGCUGAGGUCAUCUUAUGACUGCAAGGUGUCAAGUACUUCAAAUGGGGGGAAAGGUGCUUGACCCUAAAGCCUCCACACUUGGUUAUUUUGAGCUAAAGUUGCUUGGGAACGAAAAUACCCAUGAAGUGGACCAUAAAGAGUCUGGGUGAUUGAGCUGACGCAGUCCUCAGUCAAUGUAGAUACAGUGGCAAACUGUUUCAGAAACGAAGUUUCAAGGUUGUUUAGGAUGGGGUUCUAAUUUAACAACUAAGAACAUAUUUUUAUUGGAUGCUUUAUUCCACUGGCCGGGAUGGUAUGACACUUUAACUGAUGGUUUUCAGAAGCUCUUUGGGGCCAAAGGAUUUUGGUUUGGUUUUAUAUUCGUAAAAAUACUAAUAGCAAAUUACUCUUCCUUAACCUCCCAAUAGAAAGAUUCACUUUUCCGAAUGAACCCAUAGAACCCUCCAGAGAAGUUUCUUAGUAAUCAGAGUUCUUUGGCUACACAGACAUCUCUGAAAAUGAGCUUUAAAACCAAGAUGAACACCUCAUUGUCUCACCCCUACUAUAUUUAAAAUCUAUGUCUACUUUCAAAAGUCAUGCGCUAAAUCCUUAGGUUUUCCCCCCAGCAAACGAUCUAAAUAAGAGCCUGAUUUCAUUUACAUACACACUGGCUCGCUCUCCCCAACAACAACACUUCCUUUGAAAAACAGAAUGUCACUUCCUCAAUCCAGAGGCCAGAAGUCCCUCGGUUCUGAUCUGGGGAGCCAAGACAGGAAACUCUGGUAAGCUUCUGCCUCUCCCCUCAUGGAAAGCCACUGGUGCAGCUGACAGAGGGCAGGGUCUAUUCCGAGCUCCCCUGAUGCACUGCAGCUGGAAGGCAACAGCUCACUUCCAGGCUGUGGGAAUGAUCCCAGAGAGCCCGGCACCACGAGUCGGUUUAACAAGGACAUAUCAAAGGAAGGGAUGAGGAGAGGGUGGCAAACUGGGACACCUUUUAGCCACCUUGCUUGCGUUUCCAGACUCAGGCGAACAGCCCAGGACUGAUUUCAGCCAAAUCUCAGGGACUGGCCCCAUCUCGUACUCUGACCCCACCAAGCAGGACAUCUUCAGGUGGAAGGGGAAAAAAAAGCCAGACCUCCUCACCGCUCCCACCGGGCUGUACCACCUUCCCCACGAUACUGCCAGCCUCUCACCGAGAAGGGAGAGGCUGCCCCAGCAAUUUCAGUAAACACGUCGCUUAGCACCACCUGGCAACUGAGAACCUUGAUCUCUCCCGACCCCAGACGCCCGAGGACCGCACAACACAAAACCCGGGCCAGUUGUAGCCGACCAAACUGCAGUGUCACUAUCGUGGGGUGGGUUGGGGAGGGGAGGGAUGGGGGGAUCCAUGUGAGAGACAGACAGAAUAAAGGGAAAGAAGGGGGACA
rnacentral:lncRNA from 1 species